rnacentral:rRNA from 1 species
GUCUCAGUUCGGAUUGUAGUCUGCAACCCGACUACAUGAAGCUGGAAUCGCUAGUAAUCGCGAAUCAGAAUGUCGCGGUGAAUACGUUCCCGGGUCUUGUACACACCGCCCGUCACACCAUGGGAGUCGGAAAUGCCCGAAGUCAGUGACCCAACCGUAAGGAGGGAGCUGCCGAAGGUGGAGCCGGUAACUGGGGUGAAGUCGUAACAAGGUAGC